rnacentral:rRNA from 1 species
GGGGGAUAACUCCGGGAAACUGGAGCUAAUACCGCAUGAUAACUGAGGUUCAAAGGUCGCAAGACCGCCUUGAGAGGGGCCUGCGUUCGAUUAGUUAGUUGGUGGGGUAAUGGCCUACCAAGACGAUGAUCGAUAGCUGGUUUGAGAGGAUGAUCAGCCACACUGGGACUGAGACACGGCCCAGACUCCUACGGGAGGCAGCAGUGGGGAAUAUUGGACAAUGGGGGCAACCCUGAUCCAGCAAUGCCGCGUGUGUGAAGAAGGUCUUCGGAUUGUAAAACACUUUCGUUGGGGACGAUGAUGACGGUACCCAAAGAAGAAGCCCCGGCUAACUUCGUGCCAGCAGCCGCGGUAAUACGAAGGGGGCGAGCGUUGCUCGGAAUAACUGGGCGUAAAGGGCGCGUAGGCGGCCGAUAGCUGUCAGAUGUGAAAUUUUUGGGCUCAACCCGAAAACUGCAUUUGAUACNUAUUGGCUAGAGUGCGAGAGAGGAUUGCGGAAUUCCCAGUGUAGAGGUGAAAUUCGUAGAUAUUGGGAAGAACACCAGUUGCNAAGG